AUACGUAGGGGGCGAGCGUUGUCCGGAAUGACUGGGCGUAAAGGGCGUGUAGGCGGCCGAUUAAGUCUGGAGUGAAAGUCCUGCAUUCAAUGUGGGAAUUGCUUUGGAGACUGGUUGGCUUGAGUGCGGAAGAGGUAAGUGGAAUUCCCAGUGUAGCGGUGAAAUGCGUAGAGAUUGGGAGGAACACCAGUGGCGAAGGCGACUUACUGGGCUGUAACUGACGCUGAGGCGCGAAAGCGUGGGGAGCGAACAGGAUUAGAUACCCUGGCAGUCCACGCGGUAAACGAUGAAUGCUAGGUGUUGCGGGUAUCGACCCCUGCAGUGCCGGAGUAAACACAAUAAGCAUUCCGCCUGGGGAGUACGGCCGCAAGGUUGAAACUCAAAGGAAUUGACGGGG
rnacentral:rRNA from 1 species